AGUGAACGCUGGCGGCAGGCCUAACACAUGCAAGUCGAGCGGAAGGACGGUGAGUGCUCCCUUCUGCGGCUGGCGACGGGCGGGUGAGUGAGAAGUAGCUAGGUUUCCACUUUGUCUGGGGUCAUUACGGGGGGGCUCAUACACUAACGGCGCAUAUGUUGAACGGGGUGGAUCAGCGGAUCUCGCGGUAUUGGGUGAUCCUUUGAGGUGUGGUCGGAUUAGCUAGUUGGUGGGGUAAAGGCCUACCAAGGCGACGAUCCGUAGCUGGUCUGAGAGGAUGAUCAGCCACACUGGAACUGAGACACGGUCCAGACUCCUACGGGAGGCAGCAGUGGGGAAUAUUGGACAAUGGGCGAAAGCCUGAUCCAGCCAUGCCGCGUGUGUGAAGAAGGUCUUCGGAUUGUAAAGCCCUUUUAUUGGGGAAGAAGAGCAGUAAGUUAAUACCUCGCUGUUUUGACGUUACCCAAAGAAUAAGCACCGGCUAACUUCGUG
rnacentral:rRNA from 1 species